AACGAACGCUGGCGGCAGGCUUAACACAUGCAAGUCGAACGCCCCGCAAGGGGAGUGGCAGACGGGUGAGUAACGCGUGGGAACCUACCCUUUUCUGCGGAAUAGCUCUGGGAAACUGGAAUUAAUACCGCAUACGCCCCACGUGGGAAAGAUUUAUCGGGGAAGGAUUGGCCCGCGUUGGAUUAGCUAGUUGGAGGGGUAAAGGCCUACCAAGGCGACGAACCAUAGCUGGUCUGAGAGGAUGAUCAGCCACAUUGGGACUGAGACGCGGCCCAAACUCCUACGGGAGGCAGCAGUGGGGAAUAUUGGACAAUGGGCGCAAGCCUGAUCCAGCCAUGCCGCGUGAGUGAUGAAGGCCUUAGGGUUGUAAAGCUCUUUCACCGAUGAAGAUAAUGACGGUAGACGGAGAAGAAGCCCCGGCUAACUUCGUGCCAGCCGCCGCCGUAA
rnacentral:rRNA from 1 species